AUCAGCAAAAUUUAUCCCAUCUAAGGAGUAAUGCAGUUGGUUGCUGUAAUUCAAUUAUUACUGCUUUUCAUCAUGAACAUUUCAGUGUGCUUCUUAGAAAAGAGCACGCAAGAUGCCCACGGACAUCCUUGAGUCAAUGCUGGAUUUUGUCCAUGACAGAAGCUAGGGACUUCCACCAACGUUCUGCUCCAUCCUCAUCUUCAAGACGUACGCUCAUCCAGCUUCACUGCUUCAGCGCUUCUUGUGCUGCUACACAACUUUUCUUGCUUCACUGGCGAGUUGGAUCACUUCAGUUGCUGUGACACACCUGCAGUCACUCACCAAGGGAUUAUGGCCAGGUAUUGCAGAGGAGACGUUGAGAAGACCGACACCAAAAACGUCGCCAGUGUGUCAAAAAUGUCAGCUGCGGAUCAUCAUUUGUUGUUGUUAAUAUGUUUUGUGUUAGUUAACCCGUUGGCUGCCACGCCUUUGUUCCCCCCAUGUUAGCUCUGUAGCACGGGCCCGCGCUGUUCGGUCUCGUGGUUUAUUUGCCACGGGGUCGGACAGUUGCACCAGCCCCAGAUUCGCCGAAAGGCCCUGUUAGGCAAUGCACCAUAGGGACUUCCCCCUUGUCGAUACGGUGAUGGAUUCUAGAGGUUGUGCAUUCCAUCUUCUCCUGUCACCGUGUCAGCCCGGACUUGUCAGCAAUGGCAAGU
rnacentral:lncRNA from 1 species